rnacentral:rRNA from 1 species
CACGUAGGGCGCAAGCGUUGUCCGGAUUUAUUGGGCGUAAAGAGCGUGUAGGCGGUUUGGUAGGUCCGCUGUGAAAACUCGAGGCUCAACCUCGAGACGCCGGUGGAAACCAUCAGACUAGAGUCCGGAAGAGGAGAGUGGAAUUCCUGGUGUAGCGGUGAAAUGCGCAGAUAUCAGGAAGAACACCCGUGGCUAAGGCGGCUCUCUAGUACGGUACUGACGCUGAGGUGCGAAAGCGUGGGGAGCAAACAGG